rnacentral:lncRNA from 1 species
UGAAUGACCGGAGCAGUCGGAGGCGGACAAGAAGGACGAUGAGACCUUCGAGAUCUCCAUUCCCUUCGAUGAGGCACCCCACCUAGACCCACAGAUCUUUUACAGUCUGAGCCCCUCUCGGAGAAACUUCGAGGGCCUCCGGAGGCUGCGUCCUCCGCCCUGGCUCUGAUGAACAGCGUCAAGACCCAGCUGCACAUGGCUCUGGAGAGGAACUCCUGGCUGCAGAAGCGCAUCGAGGACCUGGAGGAAGAGAGGGACUUCCUGCGGUGCCAGCUGGACAAAUUCAUCUCUUCUGCUCGGAUGGAGGCAGGGACCACUGCCGGAUGAAGCCUGGGCCCAGGCGGAUGGAGGGGGACAGCCGUGGUGGGGCUGGGGGCGAGGCCUCGGACCCUGAGUCAGCAGCCUCCUCCCUCAGCGGAGCGUCCGAAGAAGGCAGCGCCAGUGAGAGGAGGCGG